AUGGGCCCAAAACUGGGCACAAGAGUCUGGCUCCUGAGCAACUUGAGGACCAUCAUCUCCCCUCUAAAGCAUAAGGAUGCAUUUAUGAUCUCCCUGACUCUCAGGAUCACAUGUGUGGUAGUGGACAUUAGCCAGGAUGACUCCAAGGUCCAUUUCAGCCAGCGCUCAGCCCCCGAAGUGUAUGUGUUCCCACCACCACCCGAAGAGGACAACAAGGACAAACGUACACUCACCUGCCUCAUCCAGAACUUCUUCCCUGAGGAUAUCUCAGUGCAGUGGCUACAAGAUGAGACGCUGAUCCCAAACACACAGUACAGAACCACAGCACCUCUGAAGUCCAACGGCCCUGGUCAAGGCUUCUUCAUCUUCAGCCGCCUGGAGGUCACCAAGGCACACUGGACACAGAACAAAGAAUUCACCUGCCAAGUGAUCCAUGAGGCACUGCAAGAACCUAGGAUCCUGAACAAAACAAUAUCCAAGAUUCCUGAGCUAGACCUCCAGGACCUAUGUGCAGAAGAGGCCGAGAGUGAGGAACUGGAAGAGCUGUGGACCAGCAUCUACGUCUUCAUCACCCUGUUCCUGCUCAGCGUGAGCUAUGGGGCCACUAUCACCCUCCUCAAGGUGAAGUGGGUCUUCUCCACACUGAUGCAGAGUACACCCCAGACCCUCCACGACUAUGCCAACGUCCUCCAGACCAGGGCAUAA